rnacentral:rRNA from 1 species
UACGUAGGGUGCGAGCGUUGUCCGGAAUUACUGGGCGUAAAGCGCGUGUAGGCGGCCAUGCAAGUCGGAUGUGAAAGCCCUCGGCUCAACCGGGGAAGUGCACUCGAAACUGCAAGGCUAGAGUCUCGGAGAGGAUCGUGGAAUUCUCGGUGUAGAGGUGAAAUUCGUAGAUAUCGAGAGGAACACCGGUGGCGAAGGCGGCGAUCUGGACGAUGACUGACGCUGAGACGCGAAAGCGUGGGGAGCAAACAGG